GAUGAACGCUGACAGCAUGCUUAACACAUGCAAGUCGAUGGGGAAGUGGUGCUUGCACCAUGGCAACCAUGGCGGACGGGUGAGUAACGCGUAAGGGACUUACCUGCAGGACUGGGAUAACAGGGGGAAACUCCUGACAAGACCGGAUAAUGUCAUGGAGCUGCAUGGCUUUAUGAUGAAAGGAGACGCCUGCGGAGAGCCUUGCGUCCUAUUAGCUAGUUGGUGAGGUAAUGGCUCACCAAGGCGAAGAUAGGUAGCCGGCCUGAGAGGGUGGACGGCCACAAGGGGACUGAGAUACGGCCCUUACUCCUACGGGAGGCGGCAGUGGGGAAUAGUGGACAAUGGGGGCAACCCUGAUCCAGCAAUUCUGUGUGCACGAAGAAGGUUUUCGGAUUGUAAAGUGCUUUCAGCAGGGAAGAAGUAAGUGACGGUACCUGCAGAAGAAGCGACGGCUAAAUACGUG
rnacentral:rRNA from 1 species